UCCCUGAUAGCUCAGUUGGUAAAGAAUCUGCCUGCAAUGCAGGAGACCCUGGUUUGAUUCUGGGUCUGGAAG
rfam:Ovis aries breed Texel chromosome 4, whole genome shotgun sequence.